rnacentral:rRNA from 1 species
GUGGGGAAUUUUGGACAAUGGGCGAAAGCCUGAUCCAGCAAUGCCGCGUGCAGGAUGAAGGCCUUCGGGUUGUAAACUGCUUUUGUACGGAACGAAAAAGCUUCUCCUAAUACGAGAGGCCCAUGACGGUACCGUAAGAAUAAGCACCGGCUAACUACGUGCCAGCAGCCGCGGUAAUACGUAGGGUGCGAGCGUUAAUCGGAAUUACUGGGCGUAAAGCGUGCGCAGGCGGUUAUGUAAGACAGAUGUGAAAUCCCCGGGCUCAACCUGGGAACUGCAUUUGUGACUGCAUGGCUAGAGUACGGGAGAGGGGGAUGGAAUUCCGCGUGUAGCAGUGAAAUGCGUAGAUAUGCGGAGGAACACCGAUGGCGAAGGCAAUCCCCUGGACCUGUACUGACGCUCAUGCACGAAAGCGUGGGGAGCAAACAGGAUUAGAAUCCCUGGUAGUCC